CGUGACUCCACUCGGCGCCCAGCCAGACUAAGCACAGCCCAGUGACCCUGUUUUCAGCUGAGAUGAGAUUCUCGGUUCCCAUAGUGAACACUGUGACAGCUCUUCUCUGAGGACACAAUUUGAUCUGGAAUAUACUUCUAAUAGUUCUUCCUUUAUAAUUUGUGGAGGGGCAGAGCUGAGGACCGAACCCAGGGCCUUACGCUUGCUAAACAAACGCUCUACCGCUGAGCUAAAUCCUCAACACCGCUGUCUCUUCUGAUGGACACUUUGGCCCACAGAAUGCUGGAGAGAACCCAUAGUUGGAACUACUCCUCUCCGUAUCAGGACUUGCCUAUAAUGAGCAAUAUAGCUCAGCCCGUGUCUGUCUUCACUAUCUCCCCUUCACCCCCACCCCCAACCAGCGUUUAUGAAAGUAGCAAUUGCUUCUGAGAAAAAGAAAACCGCUGGAGCUUGAAGCUCCUGCUGGAAGCCACUGCUUGCCUCAGUCUCUGGAAACCCAGAUGCUAGAAAUCGGAGUUUUGCCACGCUUCACCUUGCCAACGUGUGCUCGGGAGUUUUAUUUUUAUAAGGUCAGAGAGUUCUCUGCAAGACUCAGCACACUGGCUGGAGAGGGAUGGCUGCAUGCCCCCCCCUCCUUCCUCUCUUUCUGUGUGUGUAUGUGAGCUGUGUGGGCAGGUGUGAGUUGUGUAGCUGUUUACACAGGCUACACACACCUGAAUCUC
ensembl:lincRNA Gm11454 predicted gene 11454